rnacentral:lncRNA from 1 species
CUCCAGCUCAAAUUCUGGCUUUAGGGGUCAAUAGGAUUUUGAGCUAUUCCCCGAGCUCAGAUCGGUUAAUAUUGAAUAUAAAUGUUCUACUAUUUAUAUAUAUUUUUUACUUCGUUUUUGGCAGCGAUGUCCAAGAGAAUCAAGUUUAGCGAGCUAGCCAAAGUCGCAGCCCCAAAAGCUGCAACCCCUUCCUCGAAAGGCGUGGUUAUAUCUGAGGGCUCCGAGAUGGGGUCCAAGAAGAAGGCCCUCGAUGAUGGAUCCAAGGGAAAACAGGUCGCCCCACUACCGGAGGCGAAGAAGAUCAAGACUGGCACUGGUGCGCAUGCGGCCCCUGCGAGACCGCCCAUCGUUCCCGGAGAGGGUAGCUCUGCCAGACAAACCCUUGGCGAGGCUCUGGGCCCCCAAGCUUCAGUGAUGGCCAGUGCCGCUAUGGCAGAGAAGAUUUUGGCUGGGGUGAUACUCCUCGCCGACAAGGAAAAGGUGGAGAAGCUGACCUUUGACCAGGUGGUGACCAAGUUCCUCCAUGUUCUCGGUCAGGUAUUUGUUUUCUUCCUCGAUGCCUCAUUUGUUACUUCUCUAAGGUAGUAAUCUUGAAUGCUUGUUUGUAGCAGGGAGUCAUUUUGGGAUCUUUCCUUGCCGUCCGUAGCAGGAAUUUUGCAGAGGGCACCCUCAAUCAACGAGCUCUUGCGGAGUCUUUUGAAAUGGAAAUGGUACGAGUGCAAAAUAGGGCUAUUGAAUUAGAAAGGGCCCUGGCUGAGGAGAAGAACAAAGGGAAGAAAGUCGUCGAGGAAAUCGAGGAGAGGAAUGCGAUGGUGGCGAAGCUAAAGGGGCGAGUCGCCAAACUGGAAAAAAGUCAGAACCUAUCCUAGGGAUUAAUUAUUGCGGCGUUCAAAGAGUUGGAUGACUUUUUAGAGGCGGUAAGGGGGUCCGCGUCCUCUUACUUUGGCGAUGGCUUCGACUUCUGCAAGAGGCAGCUCGCCCACCAGUAUCCCAACCUCGGCAUUAAUUUGGAAGAUGUCGAGAUGGACCAAGAUUUUCUCGCUCUGGAAGAGAUCGAGACCAAGAAGAGGGCAGCCAAGGAUGAAAGGGACGGUGAGGCUGGUGCGGAGGGACAAGACUAGGCACAAGUUCGCUGUAAAUUGUAUUUAUUUUAGAGAGAUUUUAUUUUUAUGUGUGUGUGUAAUGGCAAUCUCCAAUCUGUGUUUCAAAUGGAAGAAAUUCAUUGUUUCCUUUGAAUAAACGUUUAUUUAUUUCUUUUAUUCAAAUGAGUUAAGGUUAUUUACCACCGUUCCUCCAGUUAAUUAGGAUUGCAAUGCCUGUCCGAAGGCGACAACAACUUAGUGACGUAAGAUCGUAGAUAAGGCGAUCAUGUUGGUUACUAGGAGUAGGCGGGUCAUGAGAGUAAUCGUUGAUUGAGAUGAUCUAGCUAGGCGGUGACAUUUGGAACUAUGGUUGGAUAUAUUCGGGCGAGCAAAACAUAUUUCUGGAACGGCAUUUACUAAUGCGUGCGAGAUGCGUUUAACAAUAGGCGAUCCGCAUUUCAUUAUCGUAAUGAAUAGGCCUCAUUGAUGUUGGCGACGUCAGUGCAAUGGUCAUAUUAUUGCAAAAGGGUACCCUGUGAUGUUUUAUAUCUUAGCUCUUCUUUCGGACGACCGAGGUGGUAUACAAGCAUCUGUGGGGGAAAUUGGUCUAUGCUAACGUGGGUGUGUAAUGAUGGAAUUCAGCUAAGUGGAACAUCAAUCAAGGCGGUUAAUGAGGGUACUCAAUUUCCAAGCCACGUGGACUGGGAAUUUAAUGCGGCAUAGGGAGAGUCGGCGGGAAAAACGAUUUGUGGCGGGAAUGCCGGUUUUCCAUCUUGGAACUUGAAACAUUGCGAGAUCAGGGUCGUUGAGGCAGAUUGAUUGUAGCCCUCAAAUCUAUGUAUAUAAAUGAAGCCAUCUUAUUCAUUCGCACUUUUUCUUUUUGUCAUCGAAGUGUUGCUCCAUUCUCAACUUACACCUCGCCACAAACAAUUCUUAAUCUUGCACCCCCCGGUUUAUGUCCCAUAAGAUCAAUCUAGGAGAAGGGGAAUUUGGGCAGUCAUUGCCGUCUUGGAUGUCUGACCAUCUAAGAGGGAAGUUCUACAUCGAUGAAGCAAAUCGGUCUCCCUUACUUACGACGAAGCAGACUGCUCAUCCCGAAAUGGACACCUCGAGCCUUACCAAGGAAACUAACGUUAUGUCCCAGAUUGACUUGACAAGCUUAGGGAGAAAUACUCAUUUCCCUCUGGGGUUCAACUUAGGAUCCCCGGAGAAGGCGAGACAAUUUUGUCUACUUGCGAGGGUGAGGUGGCCUUUUCCGGCUUAAGGCUCCCUAUUCACCCCACCAUCAGGAGAAUUUUGAAUCAUUUCAAAAUCUGUCACGCCUAGCUUUCUCCCAACGCAUGUAGAUCUAUCAUCUGUUCGUUGAUAAUAUGGCGGUAUCACAAACGUCACAUGUCCUACGACAAAUUCAGGUGUCU